AACGAACGCUGGCGGCAUGCCUAACACAUGCCAGUCGAACGAGACCUUCGGGUCUAGUGGCGCACGGGUGCGUAACGCGUGGGAACCUGCCCUUAGGUUCGGAAUAACUCCCCGAAAGGGGUGCUAAUACCGGAUAAUGUCUUCGGACCAAAGCUUUAGCGCCUUUGGUUGGGCCCGCGUUGGAUUAGCUAGUUGGUAGGGUAAAAGCCUACCAAGGCGACGAUCCAUAGCUGGUCUGAGAGGAUGAUCAGCCACACUGGGACUGAGACACGGCCCAGACUGCUACGGGAGGCAGCAGUGGGGAAUAUUGGACAAUGGGCGAAAGCCUGAUCCAGCAAUGCCGCGUGAGUGAUGAAGGCCUUAGGGUUGUAAAGCUCUUUUACCCGGGAUGAUAAUGACAGUACCGGGAGAAUAGGCGCCGGCUAACUCCGUG
rnacentral:rRNA from 1 species